UGAAGCAAGCUUGCUGCUUCGCUGACUAGUGGCGGACGGGUGAGUAAUGUCUGGGAAACUGCCUGAUGGAGGGGGAUAACUACUGGAAACGGUAGCUAAUACCGCAUAACGUCGCAAGACCAAAGAGGGGGACCUUCGGGCCUCUUGCCAUCGGAUGUGCCCAGAUGGGAUUAGCUAGUAGGUGGGGUAACGGCUCACCUAGGCGACGAUCCCUAGCUGGUCUGAGAGGAUGACCAGCCACACUGGAACUGAGACACGGUCCAGACUCCUACGGGAGGCAGCAGUGGGGAAUAUUGCACAAUGGGCGCAAGCCUGAUGCAGCCAUGCCGCGUGUAUGAAGAAGGCCUUCGGGUUGUAAAGUACUUUCAGCGGGGAGGAAGGNGAUGAGGUUAAUAACCUUGUCGAUUGACGUUACCCGCAGAAGAAGCACCGGCUAACUCCGUGCCAGCAGCCGCGGUAAUACGGAGGGUGCAAGCGUUAAUCGGAAUUACUGGGCGUAAAGCGCACGCAGGCGGUCUGUCAAGUCGGAUGUGAAAUCCCCGGGCUCAACCUGGGAACUGCAUUCGAAACUGGCAGGCUAAGUCUUGUAAGGGGGGUAGAAUUCCAGGUGUACGGUAAAUGCGUAAGAUCUGGAGGAAUACCGGUGCGAAGCGGCCCCUGGACAAAACUGACGCUCAGGUNCAAGCGUGGGGAGCAACAGGANUUAUCCUGGUAUCACCCUAACAUUUAUUGAGGUUGUGCCCUUAAGGCUNGUUCCGAACUACCUUNUCACCGCCUGGNACGGCCCGGGUAAUCAAUAUAUAGGGCCCAACGGGGAGUU
rnacentral:rRNA from 1 species